GGGUUGUGAGGUUAAGCGACUAAGCGUACACGGUGGAUGCCCUGGCAGUCAGAGGCGAUGAAGGGCNNACUAAUCUGCGAUAAGCGCCGGUAAGGUGAUAUGAACCGUUAUAACCGGCGAUACCCGAAUGGGGAAACCCAGUGUGAUUCGUCACACUAUCAUUAACUGAAUCCAUAGGUUAAUGAGGCGAACCGGGGGAACUGAAACAUCUAAGUACCCCGAGGAAAAGAAAUCAACCGAGAUUCCCCCAGUAGCGGCGAGCGAACGGGGAGGAGCCCAGAGCCUGAAUCAGCAUGUGUGUUAGUGGAAGCGUCUGGAAAGGCGCGCGAUACAGGGUGACAGCCCCGUACACAAAAGCGCAUGUGCUGUGAGCUCGAUGAGUAGGGCGGGACACGUGGUAUCCUGUCUGAAUAUGGGGGGACCAUCCUCCAAGGCUAAAUACUCCUGACUGACCGAUAGUGAACCAGUACCGUGAGGGAAAGGCGAAAAGAACCCCGGCGAGGGGAGUGAAAAAGAACCUGAAACCGUGUACGUACAAGCAGUGGGAGCACCCUUUGGGUGUGACUGCGUACCUUUUGUAUAAUGGGUCAGCGACUUAUAUUCUGUAGCAAGGUUAACCGAAUAGGGGAGCCGGAGGGAAACCGAGUCUUAAUUGGGCGUUAAGUUGCAGGGUAUAGACCCGAAACCCGGUGAUCUAGCCAUGGGCAGGUUGAAGGUUGGGUAACACUAACUGGAGGACCGAACCGACUAAUGUUGAAAAAUUAGCGGAUGACCUGUGGCUGGGGGUGAAAGGCCAAUCAAACCGGGAGAUAGCUGGUUCUCCCCGAAAGCUAUUUAGGUAGCGCCUCGUGAAUUCAUCUCCGGGGGUAGAGCACUGUUUCGGCUAGGGGGCCAUCCCGGCUUACCAACCCGAUGCAAACUGCGAAUACCGGAGAAUGUUAUCACGGGAGACACACGGCGGGUGCUAACGUCCGUCGUGAAGAGGGAAACAACCCAGACCGCCAGCUAAGGUCCCAAAGUCAUGGUUAAGUGGGAAACGAUGUGGGAAGGCCCAGACAGCCAGGAUGUUGGCUUAGAAGCAGCCAUCAUUUAAAGAAAGCGUAAUAGCUCACUGGUCGAGUCGGCCUGCGCGGAAGAUGUAACGGGGCUAAACCAUGCACCGAAGCUGCGGCAGCGACACUGUGUGUUGUUGGGUAGGGGAGCGUUCUGUAAGCCUGCGAAGGUGGCCUGUGAGGGUUGCUGGAGGUAUCAGAAGUGCGAAUGCUGACAUAAGUAACGAUAAAGCGGGUGAAAAGCCCGCUCGCCGGAAGACCAAGGGUUCCUGUCCAACGUUAAUCGGGGCAGGGUGAGUCGACCCCUAAGGCGAGGCCGAAAGGCGUAGUCGAUGGGAAACGGGUUAAUAUUCCCGUACUUGGUGUUACUGCGAAGGGGGGACGGAGAAGGCUAUGUUGGCCGGGCGACGGUUGUCCCGGUUUAAGCGUGUAGGUGUGUGUUCCAGGUAAAUCCGGUUCACUUUAACACUGAGGCGUGACGACGAGGCACUACGGUGCUGAAGCAACAAAUGCCCUGCUUCCAGGAAAAGCCUCUAAGCAUCAGGUAACAUCAAAUCGUACCCCAAACCGACACAGGUGGUCAGGUAGAGAAUACCAAGGCGCUUGAGAGAACUCGGGUGAAGGAACUAGGCAAAAUGGUGCCGUAACUUCGGGAGAAGGCACGCUGACACGUAGGUGAAGUGAUUUACUCAUGGAGCUGAAGUCAGUCGAAGAUACCAGCUGGCUGCAACUGUUUAUUAAAAACACAGCACUGUGCAAACACGAAAGUGGACGUAUACGGUGUGACGCCUGCCCGGUGCCGGAAGGUUAAUUGAUGGGGUCAGCGCAAGCGAAGCUCCUGAUCGAAGCCCCGGUAAACGGCGGCCGUAACUAUAACGGUCCUAAGGUAGCGAAAUUCCUUGUCGGGUAAGUUCCGACCUGCACGAAUGGCGUAAUGAUGGCCAGGCUGUCUCCACCCGAGACUCAGUGAAAUUGAACUCGCUGUGAAGAUGCAGUGUACCCGCGGCAAGACGGAAAGACCCCGUGAACCUUUACUAUAGCUUGACACUGAACAUUGAGCCUUGAUGUGUAGGAUAGGUGGGAGGCUUUGAAGUGUGGACGCCAGUCUGCAUGGAGCCGACCUUGAAAUACCACCCUUUAAUGUUUGAUGUUCUAACGUGGACCCGUUACCCGGGUUGCGGACAGUGUCUGGUGGGUAGUUUGACUGGGGCGGUCUCCUCCUAAAGAGUAACGGAGGAGCACGAAGGUUGGCUAAUCCUGGUCGGACAUCAGGAGGUUAGUGCAAUGGCAUAAGCCAGCUUGACUGCGAGCGUGACGGCGCGAGCAGGUGCGAAAGCAGGUCAUAGUGAUCCGGUGGUUCUGAAUGGAAGGGCCAUCGCUCAACGGAUAAAAGGUACUCCGGGGAUAACAGGCUGAUACCGCCCAAGAGUUCAUAUCGACGGCGGUGUUUGGCACCUCGAUGUCGGCUCAUCACAUCUGGGGCUGAAGUAGGUCCCAAGGGUAUGGCUGUUCGCCAUUUAAAGUGGUACGCGAGCUGGGUUUAGAACGUCGUGAGACAGUUCGGUCCCUAUCUGCCGUGGGCGCUGGAGAACUGAGGGGGGCUGCUCCUAGUACGAGAGGACCGGAGUGGACGCAUCACUGGUGUUCGGGUUGUCAUGCCAAUGGCACUGCCCGGUAGCUAAAUGCGGAAGAGAUAAGUGCUGAAAGCAUCUAAGCACGAAACUUGCCCCGAGAUGAGUUCUCCCUGAGACUUAAAGUCUCCUGAAGGAACGUUGAAGACGACGACGUUGAUAGGCCGGGUGUGUAAGCGCAGCGAUGCGUUGAGCUAACCGGUACUAAUGAACCGUGAGGCUUAACCUUACAACGCCGAAG
rnacentral:rRNA from 1 species